rnacentral:rRNA from 1 species
GAUGAACGCUGGCGGCGUGCCUAAUACAUGCAAGUCGAGCGAACGGACGAGAAGCUUGCUUCUCUGACGUUAGCGGCGGACGGGUGAGUAACACGUGGAUAACCUACCUAUAAGACUGGGAUAACUUCGGGAAACCGGAGCUAAUACCGGAUAAUAUUUUGAACCGCAUGGUUCAAUAGUGAAAGACGGUCUUGCUGUCACUUAUAGAUGGAUCCGCGCUGCAUUAGCUAGUUGGUAAGGUAACGGCUUACCAAGGCAACGAUGCAUAGCCGACCUGAGAGGGUGAUCGGCCACACUGGAACUGAGACACGGUCCAGACUCCUACGGGAGGCAGCAGUAGGGAAUCUUACGCAAUGGGCGAAAGCCUGACGGAGCAACGCCGAGUGAGUGAUGAAGGUCUUCGGAUCGUAAAACUCUGUUAUUAGGGAAGAACAUAUGUGUAAGUAACUGUGCACAUCUUGACGGUACCUAAUCAGAAAGCCACGGCUAACUACGUG